rnacentral:rRNA from 1 species
AUACGUAGGGGGCAAGCGUUGUCCGGAAUUACUGGGCGUAAAGAGCUCGUAGGCGGCUCAGCAAGUCGGUCGUGAAAGCCCGAGGCCCAACCUCGGAACUGCGGUCGAUACUGCUGUGGCUAGAGUCCGGUAGAGGAGAGUGGAAUUCCCGGUGUAGCGGUGGAAUGCGCAGAUAUCGGGAGGAACACCAGUGGCGAAGGCGGCUCUCUGGGCCGGUACUGACGCUGAGGAGCGAAAGCGUGGGGAGCAAACAGGAUUAGAAACCCUAGUAGUCC